rnacentral:rRNA from 1 species
UACGUAGGGUGCGAGCGUUAAUCGGAAUUACUGGGCGUAAAGCGUGCGCAGGCGGUUUCGUAAGCCAGAUGUGAAAUCCCCGGGCUUAACCUGGGAAUGGCAUUUGGGACUGCAAGGCUUGAGUGCGGCAGAGGAGACUGGAAUUCCUGGUGUAGCAGUGAAAUGCGUAGAUAUCAGGAGGAAUACCGAUGGCGAAGGCAGGUCUCUGGGCUGACACUGACGCUCAUGCACGAAAGCGUGGGGAGCAAACAGG